AAAGGGGUGCUAAUACCCGAAUGAAUGUAAGAGUAUCGCAUGAGACACUUCUAAAGGAGGCCUCUGAAAAUGCUUCCGCUUGAAGAUGAGCUUGCGUCUGAUUAGCUAGUUGGUGAGGGUUAAAGGCCCACCAAGGCGACGAUCAGUAGCCGGUCUGAGAGGAUGAACGGCCACAUUGGGACUGAGACACGGCCCAGACUCCUACGGGAGGCAGCAGUGGGGAAUCUUCCGCAAUGGGCGAAAGCCUGACGGAGCAACGCCGCGUGAACGAUGAAGGUCUUAGGAUCGUAAAGUUCUGUUGUUAGGGACGAAGGGUAAGAAUCAUAAUAAGGUUUUGUUUGACGGUACCUAACGAGGAAGCCACGGCUAACUACGUG
rnacentral:rRNA from 1 species